rnacentral:rRNA from 1 species
ACGCUGGCGGCACGCCUAACACAUGCAAGUCGAACGCAGUAGCAAUACUGAGUGGCAAACGGGUGAGUAUAAUGUGGGAAUCUGCCUUUUGGUUUGGAAUAACACGGGGAAACUUGUGCUAAUACCGGAUAAGCCUUUACAGGGAAAGUUUUAACGCCGAAAGAUGAGCCUGCACUUGAUUAGCUAGUUGGUAAGGUAAAAGCUUACCAAGGCAAUGAUCAAUAGCUGUUCUUAGAGGAAGACCAGCCACAUUGGGACUGAGACACGGCCCAGACUCCUACGGGAGGCAGCAGUGGGGAAUCUUGCACAAUGGGGGAAACCCUGAUGCAGCGAUGCCGCGUGAGUGAAGAAGGCCCUUGGGUUGUAAAACUCUUUCGUCGGGGAAGAAAAUGACUGUACCCGAAUAAGAAGGUCCGGCUAACUUCGUGCCAGCAGCCGCGGUAAUACGAAGGGACCUAGCGUAGUUCGGAAUUACUGGGCUUAAAGAGCUCGUAGGUGGUUAAAAAAGUUGAUGGUGAAAUCCCAAGGCUCAACCUUGGAACUGCCAUCAAAACUUUUUAGCUAGAGUGUGAUAGAGGUAAGUGGAAUUUCUAGUGUAGAGGUGAAAUUCGUAGAUAUUAGAAAGAACACCAAAUGCGAAGGCAACUUACUGGGUCACUACUGACACUGAGGAGCGAAAGCAUGGGUAGCGAAGAGGAUUAGAUACCCUCGUAGUCCAUGCCGUAAACGAUGUGUGCUAGACGUUGGAAAUUUAUUUUUCAGUGUCGCAGCGAAAGCAUUAAGCACACCGCCUGGGGAGUACGACC